AGUGAACGCUGGCGGUAGGCCUAACACAUGCAAGUCGAACGGCAGCACAGUAAGAGCUUGCUCUUACGGGUGGCGAGUGGCGGACGGGUGAGGAAUACAUCGGAAUCUACUUUUUCGUGGGGGAUAACGUAGGGAAACUUACGCUAAUACCGCAUACGACCUACGGGUGAAAGCAGGGGAUCUUCGGACCUUGCGCGAUUGAAUGAGCCGAUGUCGGAUUAGCUAGUUGGCGGGGUAAAGGCCCACCAAGGCGACGAUCCGUAGCUGGUCUGAGAGGAUGAUCAGCCACACUGGAACUGAGGCACGGUCCAGACUCCUACGGGAGGCAGCAGUGGGGAAUAUUGGACAAUGGGCGCAAGCCUGAUUCAGCCAUACCGCGUGGGUGAAGAAGGCCUUCGGGUUGUAAAGCCCUUUUGUUGGGAAAGAAAAGCAGCAGGUUAAUACCCCGCUGUUCUGACGGUACCCAAAGAAUAAGCACCGGCUAACUUCGUG
rnacentral:rRNA from 1 species